GUGGGAUUGGCUCUACCAGGAAGGAGUGACCCUCUCUCCGUGAAUGAAUGACCCUCUGGAGGUCCGGGGAGAACCAGUGACCGGGGAGACUUGGAAAAUAGAGGGAAGUGGAGGAAACACCCACAGUUCCACUACUCGAACAUAAUUUUCCACGUUUGUUCAUUCCCUUUCAGACAAUACUGAAAGGAAUCAAGAAGAGUGAGAAUCACCAAUAACCAGGCAAGGGAAGGUCUUCAGACUUCCUUGGAUCACAGAACGCAACGAUAAUGGCACUGCCGUCCGGGUGUGUGCUUUAAGAGGCCUGCCUGGUGGCUCCCACGUUUAUGCUCUUCUUACCCUGCUGUCAUGUGAGGAGGGCAGGUGAGGCCCCCGUGAUGACAGACCACAAGGGGACAGGGCGUCCACAUCAAGGAGAAAUGGCAGCCGGAUCUGAAGCCUGGAGAGGAAGGAAGCCCUCCUGGGUGUUCUAGCCCCAGAUGACCCCCAGCUGAAUUCAGCCACAAGUCAACCCCAGCACAUCCCACAUGGAGCAGAAAAACUGCCCCACUGAGGCUCGCUGCCUCACAGACUGGGAGGGAGGUGGGGCGUUGUUUUUAAGCUAAUAAAUUUGAAGUGCUUUAUG